rnacentral:rRNA from 1 species
UACGUAGGGUGCGAGCGUUAAUCGGAAUUACUGGGCGUAAAGUGUGCGCAGGCGGCGUCGCAAGUCGAGUGUGAAAGCCCCGGGCUUGACUUGGGAAUUGCGCUCGAAACUACGAUGCUGGAGUGUGGCAGAGGAAGGUGGAAUUCCACGUGUAGCGGUGAAAUGCGUAGAGAUGUGGAGGAACACCAAUGGCGAAGGCAGCCUUCUGGGCCAACACUGACGCUCAUGCACGAAAGCGUGGGGAGCAAACAGG